rnacentral:rRNA from 2 species
GUCGAGCGGACAGAAGGGAGCUUGCUCCCGGAAGUCAGCGGCGGACGGGUGAGUAACACGUAGGUAACCUGCCCCUUAGACUGGGAUAACUCCGGGAAACCGGAGCUAAUACGGGAUAAUAAAGAGAAUCACCUGAUUCUCUUUUGAAAGACGGUUUCGGCUGUCACUAAGGGAUGGGCCUGCGGCGCAUUAGCUAGUUGGUAAGGUAACGGCUUACCAAGGCGACGAUGCGUAGCCGACCUGAGAGGGUGAUCGGCCACACUGGGACUGAGACACGGCCCAGACUCCUACGGGAGGCAGCAGUAGGGAAUCUUCCGCAAUGGACGAAAGUCUGACGGAGCAACGCCGCGUGAGUGAGGAAGGCCUUCGGGUCGUAAAGCUCUGUUGUGAGGGAAGAACAAGUACCGGCGUAACUACCGGUACCUUGACGGUACCUCACCAGAAAGCCACGGCUAACUACGUGCCAGCAGCCGCGGUAAUACGUACGUGGCAAGCGUUGUCCGGAAUUAUUGGGCGUAAAGCGCGCGCAGGCGGCUUCUUAAGUCUGAUGUGAAAUCUCGGGGCUCAACCCCGAGCGGCCAUUGGAAACUGGGAAGCUUGAGUGCACAAGAGGAGAGUGGAAUUCCACGUGUAGCGGUGAAAUGCGUACAUGUGUGGAGGAACACC